CUUUUAGUGGCUUUUGAAUUUUAACCACUCCCAAAUCUAGUGGGAUGAAAACAAUUGAAGGAAGUUUAUGUCACUAAUAUACGCAUACUUAUCCACAGAGGUGGGACCAAGAAUGCACAACCAGGGGAUGGUGAAAUUUUUUUAUAGAACUUUGACGGUAAAAGAAAUAUUUUUUAUUUAAAAGCUAUAACAUGCCUAAUUAGAAGCCAGACCCACCAACAAAACUAACUAUGACCUGUCUCUGACUCUUCAUUUAUUUCAAUGCAUUUCUCAACAUGAACCACAAUCCAACAUGUUCCAAAAAUAAGUGGGAAUUUUUCCACAUACUUCCUAACCAUUAAUAAGCAAAGACAGUGCAUGAAAAGCAAGCAACUUAUAUUUUACAAUAAGCAAAAUCAAAAAGCAAAACCAGAAAGCGUAGGAUUUGUUGAUUGCCAAGCUUUUCCGACAAAAUUUCGCUCAGUUGAAGAUUCAGAUAAAAAACCAUUUAACUGGGAAUCUAGUUUCUGAAAGAUGGUAUUAUUGAACUUCGAAUUCUCAUCUUUUGUCACGUACUUCUGUAACACCUCUAUAAGGAUGUCCUUUACAUACUACCAGAUCAAUUUUUUUGGCCGCAAACAAGAUCUUCAGUCAUUCCAAAUAUGAAUAUUAAAUUUAAUAAGAAUACAACCACUAAUUUCCUAAAUGAACACAAACAAAAUUUCCACUUGCAUACAUACAAAAUAUAGAAAUACAAUUAAAAUAUGGGCCAACACACACUUACACACAUGAUUAACUAGGAAAGAACAAAAAAUUAGCACACUAACAACAUAAUUUGCUUGGAAAUGAGAAAUCAAAGUAUGAACUCAUGAUGUAAAUAAAACAAAGAAAUCUUUAGAAAUUUUGAAGGAUGCAGAUUAAGUUGCAUUCUCUAAUAAAUUAAACUUUUAGAUGAAGUAGUUUCAACAUGGUAUGAGAACAUGCAAAUGUCCUUAGUUUAUGUCUCACCGCUAUCCAUUUAAUGAAAUUGUACACAAUUCAAGCUUUGAUAGGAAAAUUCCGG
rnacentral:lncRNA from 1 species